UACAGAGACUGCAAGCGUUAUUCGGAUUCACUGGGCGUAAAGGGUGCGCAGGCGGUUGGGUGUGUCAGAUGUGAAAUCCCGAGGCUUAACCUCGGAACUGCGUCUGAAACUACUCGACUAGAGUACUGGAGAGGGAAACGGAAUUCACGGUGUAGCAGUGAAAUGCGUAGAUAUCGUGAGGAACACCAGUGGCGAAGGCGAAUCUCUGGACAGAUCCUGACGCUGAGGCACGAAGGCUAGGGGAGCAAACGGG
rnacentral:rRNA from 1 species